rnacentral:lncRNA from 1 species
GCGCAGUGGGGGGACGAGGGCAAAGGCAAGGUGGUGGACCUGCUGGCCACGGACGCCGACAUCAUCAGCCGCUGCCAGGGGGGCAACAACGCCGGCCACACGGUGGUGGUGGAUGGGAAAGAGUACGACUUCCACCUGCUGCCCAGCGGCAUCAUCAACACCAAGGCCGUGUCCUUCAUUGGCAACGGGGUGGUCAUCCACUUGCCAGGCUUGUUUGAGGAAGCAGAGAAGAAUGAAAAGAAAGGCCUGAAGGACUGGGAGAAGAGGCUCAUCAUCUCUGACAGAGCCCACCUUGGAGACUCAGGCCAGCAGGAGGUGAG